rnacentral:rRNA from 1 species
UAGGGAAUCUUCGGCAAUGGACGAAAGUCUGACCGAGCAACGCCGCGUGAGUGAAGAAGGUUUUCGGAUCGUAAAACUCUGUUGUUAGUGAAGAACAAGGACGUUAGUAACUGAACGUCCCCUGACGGUAUCUAACCAGAAAGCCACGGCUAACUACGUGCCAGCAGCCGCGGUAAUACGUAGGUGGCAAGCGUUGUCCGGAUUUAUUGGGCGUAAAGCGAGCGCAGGCGGUUUCUUAAGUCUGAUGUGAAAGCCCCCGGCUCAACCGGGGAGGGUCAUUGGAAACUGGGAGACUUGAGUGCAGAAGAGGAGAGUGGAAUUCCAUGUGUAGCAGUGAAAUGCGUAGAUAUAUGGAGGAACACCAGUGGCGAAGGCGGCUCUCUGGUCUGUAACUGACGCUGAGGCUCGAAAGCGUGGGGAGCAAACAGG